rnacentral:rRNA from 1 species
AGACAGAGAUGGCAACCGUUGUUCGGAAUCACUGGGCUUAAAGGGCACGUAGGCGGAUAUUUAAGUCGGCUGUGAAAGACCACGGUUCAUUCGUGGGAGGUCAGCCGAAACUGGAUGUCUUGAGGUCGGUAGGGGAAAGUAGAAUUCCUGGUGGAGCGGUGAAAUGCGUUGAUAUCAGGAGGAAUGUCGGAGGCGAAGGCGACUUUCUGGGCCGAAACUGACGCUGAGGUGCGAAAGCUAGGGGAGCAAACGGGAUUAGAAACCCCAGUAGUCC